CUUAGCUCAGUUGGAUAGAGCAACGGCCUUCUAAGCCGUAGGUCAAAGGUUCGAAUCCUUUA
rnacentral:tRNA from 1 species